rnacentral:rRNA from 1 species
GGGAAGCUUGCUUUCCUUGCCGGCGACCGGCGCACGGGUGAGUAACACGUAUGCAACCUGCCCUCUUCAGGGGGACAACCUUCCGAAAGGGAGGCUAAUCCCGCGUAUAUCGGUUUCGGGCAUCCGAGAUCGAGGAAAGAUUCAUCGGAAGAGGAUGGGCAUGCGGCGCAUUAGCUAGACGGCGGGGUAACGGCCCACCGUGGCGACGAUGCGUAGGGGUUCUGAGAGGAAGGUCCCCCACACUGGUACUGAGACACGGACCACACUUAAACGGGAGGCAGCAGUGAGGAAUAUUGGUCAAUGGGAGAGAUCCUGAACCAGCCAAGCCGCGUGAGGGAAGACGGCCCUAUGGGUUGUAAACCUCUUUUGUCGGAGAACAAAACCCGGGACGUGUCCCGGACUGCGUGUAUCCGAAGAAAAAGCGUCGGCUAACUCCGUGCCAGCAGCCGCGGUAAUACGUAGGUGGCAAGCGUUAUCCGGAAUUAUUGGGCGUAAAGAGCGCGCAGGUGGUUAAUUAAGUCUGAUGUGAAAGCCCACGGCUUAACCGUGGAGGGUCAUUGGAAACUGGUUGACUUGAGUGCAGAAGAGGGAAGUGGAAUUCCAUGUGUAGCGGUGAAAUGCGUAGAGAUAUGGAGGAACACCAGUGGCGAAGGCGGCUUCCUGGUCUGCAACUGACACUGAGGCGCGAAAGCGUGGGGAGCAAACAGGAUUAGAUACCCUGGUA